rnacentral:rRNA from 1 species
UACGGAGGGGGCAAGCGUUAUUCGGAAUUAUUGGGCGUAAAGGGCGCGUAGGCGGCUAGAUGUGUCAAAGGUGAAAUCCCUCGGCUCAACUGAGGAACUGCCUUUGGAACUGUCUGGCUUGAGGCCGGGAGAGGGUAGCGGAAUUCCCAGUGUAGCGGUGAAAUGCGUAGAUAUUGGGAGGAACACCAGUGGCGAAGGCGGCUACCUGGACCGGUUCUGACGCUGAGGCGCGAAAGCGUGGGUAGCAAACAGG